CCUACGGGAGGCAGCAGUCGAGAAUCAUUCACAAUGGGGGAAACCCUGAUGGUGCGACGCCGCGUGGGGGAAUGAAGGUCUUCGGAUUGUAAACCCCUGUCAUGUGGGAGCAAAUUAAAAAGAUAGUACCACAAGAGGAAGAGACGGCUAACUCUGUGCCAGCAGCCGCGGUAAUACAGAGGUCUCAAGCGUUGUUCGGAAUCACUGGGCGUAAGGCGUGCGUAGGCUGUUUCGUAAGUCGUGUGUGAAAGGCGCGGGCUCAACCCGCGGACGGCACAUGUUACUGCGAGACUAGAGUAAUGGAGGGGGAACCGGAAUUCUCGGUGUAGCAGUGAAAUGCGUAGAUAUCGAGAGGAACACUCGUGGCGAAGGCGGGUUCCUGGACAUUAACUGACGCUGAGGCACGAAGGCCAGGGGAGCGAAAGGGAUUAGAUACCCUGGUAGUC
rnacentral:rRNA from 1 species